rnacentral:rRNA from 1 species
GGGGAAUCUUGCGCAAUGGGCGAAAAGCCUGACGCAGCCAUGCCGCGUGAAUGAUGAAGGUCUUAGGAUUGUAAAAUUCUUUCACCGGGGAAGAUAAUGACGGUACCCGGAGAAGAAGCCCCGGCUAACUUCGUGCCAGCAGCCGCGGUAAUACGAAGGGGGCUAGCGUUGCUCGGAUUUACUGGGCGUAAAGGGCGCGUAGGCGGACAGUUUAGUCAGAGGUGAAAGCCCGGGGCUCAACCCCGGAAUUGCCUUUGAUACUGGCUGUCUUGAGUUUGGGAGAGGUAUGCGGAACUCCGAGUGUAGAGGUGAAAUUCGUAGAUAUUCGGAAGAACACCAGUGGCGAAGGCGGCAUACUGGCCCAAUACUGACGCUGAGGCGCGAAAGCGUGGGGAGCAAACAGGAUUAGAUACCCUGGUAGUCCACGCCGUAAACGAUGAUUGCUAGUUGUCGGCACGCAUGCGUGUCGGUGACGCAGCUAACGCAUUAAGCAAUCCGCCUGGGGAGUACGGUCGCAAGAUUAAAACUC